CCCCCUCCCCGAGGGGGCGGCCAAAAGCUGGGUUUCCUCUGUGGGAGCAGGAGAGCCUAAGCAACGCUUUGCUGCAGCAAGGAUCCUGGCGCUUCUUAUGCCGUUGUCGAGAAAGUGCUAGAAAUGCUCGGGGCUGAGCUUCCCCAGCAUCCGUGUCCCUCCCCGCUCCAGAGGCUUCAGUAAUGCUGCCUUCCAUAAUCUUUGUUACUUUAUAUUCUAGGGGGAUCAUAUUCCACAUGCACCUACAAUUCAGGUUUAGGCUACUGAUGGGUGAUGCAGGCCAGUGGGCUACAGGCAAACGUUUCCCCCCAGCAGAAGGGCCAGGCAGAGGCUGCUGCUGCAGACCCACAGUAAUACCGCUGGCCUUGGUGUUACAUCCGGGCAAAUGGCAUUGCCAGCGGGGUUUGGCUGCUGCCACAUUGCUAACAGCACGGGAAGCCACACGUUUCUGCAUGAACACCAGCCAAGCACCAGACCUUUGUUUAUCUUGAAAGCAUUUAUCUGCAUUUGUAUGCCUAAAAGGUCACAAAACCUUAGACCUAGCAGUAUGUGUAUUGUAUAAAGUAUGUGAUAGUUUUAAUACUCAACAUAAUCAUUAGAUACUCUUUUUUUUUAUUUUAACAGUAUUAUGAAACUGUCAUGAAAUAUGUCUGUCAGCUGAUUGCAUCUCUGCAGUUUGAAUCAACAGAUUCCUGGCUUCAUGUUCAAGUAGACCAACUGCCCAACAAAGUUAAUUUAAAAAAUAUUGGGCUUUUAAUCUUUUAUUCAAGAUUUGACAGCUUCACCAUUCAAUGUCUUUGGACUACAAUACCUCUUUCUGAACAAGGAAGCAAAACCAACCUAUCUGAAAUAUUAGAAAUAGCUGGAAUUCAAGCAGCCUUUCAGAUUUUGCUGAAUCUAACCCCUGAGCCAGUCCAAGUCCCUGUCUUCAUCUGCACUAUCUACACCUCCGUAGCAAAUACCUCACCUCUGCAGUGCAACUAAUGCUGGAAUCCGAAAGAAUCCCAGAUGCCCCUCUAUUGGCACGGCACAGUGGCACCGAGGGAAAGGUACGGACCACCUGCCAAAUGCCUCUUUACAUCAGCCACCUCCGUCCUCAGGAAUGAAACCUUGUCAGGGAAAGAGCAGAAAAUAAGCUGCUGCGGAGGGACCUAACUUCUUCACCAAGUGUGUUGUCACCUGUGUUUUCUUUCCAUGUCAGUAUGGCAGUGGUGUUAAUUAGGGGAAUGAGAGGAGCAAAUGAAGAAAUUGGCCUGCCUGCUGUUUGAUGAAGUUAGGGGGAGAGCUUUACCAGAAUGAAAUAGCAAAACCUAGUGUAUCCAUUGCAAAAAAAGGAGCUCUUCCUGCUUGCUUGAAAACAGAGGCACCCAUAGACAAGGCCUCCGGUAUGAAAGGGUUUUAUUGUGAAAUGUUGUAACUCCUCCAGUUCAGCAGCACAAACCAUCUUGCACUAUGUCUGGAGGUCUGUUUCUCUCUCAGGGUUUUUGAGGGGAGGGAAGGGCUGGG
rnacentral:lncRNA from 1 species